rnacentral:rRNA from 1 species
UAACUCCCGCCGGCGACCGGCGCACGGGUGAGUAACACGUAUGAAACCUGCCCGUAGCAGGGGGAUAAGCGGAAGAAAUUCCGUCUAAUACCGCGUAANAACCCGAGAGGCAUCUCCNCGGGUUUAAAGGAAGCGAUUCCGGCUACGGAUGGUCAUGCGUCGCAUUAGCUAGUUGGCGGGGUAACGGCCCACCAAGGCGACGAUGCGUAGGGGUUCUGAGAGGAAGGUCCCCCACACUGGUACUGAGACACGGACCAGACUCCUACGGAAGGCAGCAG